UGGCUAAUCUGCCUUGAGACGAGAAUAACCCGGGAAACUGGGGCUAACUCUCGAUAGGCGAAGAACUCUGGAAUGAGUCUUCACCCAAAAAGCUUCACGUUAUCCUCGUGAAGUCGCUCAAGGAUGAGGCCGCGACCGAUCAGGUUGUUGGUGAGGUAAUGGCUCACCAAGCCUUUUACCGGUGCGGGCCGUGGGAGCGGGAGCCCGGAGAUGGGUACUGAGACAAGGACCCAGGCCCUACGGGGCGCAGCAGUCGCGAAAACUUUGCAAUACACGAAAGUGUGACAGGGCUAUCCCGAGUGCCAUCCGCUGAGGAAGGCUUUUACCCAGUCUAGAACGCUGGGGGAAUAAGGAGAGGGCAAGUCUGGUGUCAGCCGCCGCGGUAAUACCAGCUCUCCGAGUGGUGUGGAUGUUUAUUGGGCCUAAAGCAUCCGUAG
rnacentral:rRNA from 1 species